rnacentral:miRNA from 1 species
UGGAGAGAGAGAGAGAGAGAGAGAGAGAGAGAGAGAGAGAGAACACAUAAAUUUGACCCUCUUGUUAGUUGCAGGUGGGGGAAGGAAUAGUCUCUCUCUCUCUCUCUCUCUCUCUCUCUCUCUGUGUG